rnacentral:lncRNA from 1 species
UGUCUGGAUCUGUAGCUAUAUAACCACCCACCGUGGAGACAUUGCUACAAUUCAGCGCUUGCAUUUUGCCUGCUCGGGAAAUGCAAAGAAACCUACUUUGUUUCAUACCUCUGCAAAAGAAGAGCCUGAAAUCCGACUUGAGAUUUGAGUGAAGAAAACGGUGUCUGGAACCAUGAAGCAUGUUCAAUACUCCAGGUACCACGGCGG